AUGACACAAGAUGCGUAGAAGUUGAUGUGAAUCGGGUUUUUCCUAAGUAAUGUGACGAGUAAGAACAGAGUAGGAUAAUGAACAAAAAAGAAUAACGGACAAGACGCCUAAGAGGACGACGCUAGGCUAGCGACGACAGAGGACUGUGCCCUUUUUAUUGUUUAUUAAAUUGUUGAAGUUAUCAGCCUGCGUUAUUAAGUAUAUUCUUGAUUCAUUCUGUUGUUGUGUCAUAUGGACUCGCAUGCACCAGUAACAUAUAUAUACUCAUCAACAAAAUAGACCAUCAACAGAUGUGGCGACCCACGACGGCCAGGGCGUCAUUUUGAUCUACAAUCUAGUUAACUUCGUGUUAUGGAUAUAUCUAUCUACAAUUCUACACUUGGCGAAGUACACUGGAGAAGUACUGGAUUAACAUUCGUUUAUUUCUACUAGAUCUACCCUACGUCUGUGCUAAUUAUCUGGACUGCAGCUGGAUUUUGGCAUCUUUGUUCCAGUGGAUCUAGACUUUCUAUUAGAGAAAAUUCGAAACCGUUACCAGCGUCUAGCUUUGUCAGCCAUGUUGGAUAUUUUUAGAUUGAACUUGGAUCUAUAUUGACUAGAUCUAUAUCUAUUGUGUCUGAAUCCAGAACUAUUUCGUCCGUUGAAGUGAUUUAGGGCAGUCCGUCGUCAGUAUACCUCUACCUAUAUACCUCAAGAGUGAAGAUACCUCAUUUUGUCAGGUUUAUCUGUUUAUUGUGAGUACGGAAAGUCAUCUGAGUCUACAUAUCUAGUAUCUACAAGCUGACCGUUGGAUCGAGUCACCUUGUCAGGAAAGGUUUGGUGUGAUGUGAGGCGACCAGCCAUGAACAUAUAGCCAAUGACAGUAUUUACUCUGAAAAACACUGUUUUAUGUCUGUGGAAUCGACAAAGGCAUCGUCGUAUGGGGACUGUAUACAUGUCUUGAUGGACUUAGUACUAUUAGUUGGUGAAACUAUUACACUGUACUAUACUAUUUCAUCGUCAAUGACAUGAGUGAUGAUUAGAACACUGUAUACCGGAUAUUUUCUUACCAAUAACUGUAUUGGAACUGUACAUAUUGUUUUCUUGGUGUCAACAUUCAACUACAGUGUGAACUUUGUGACAUAGGAACAUGGACAAUUUUACCAGGAACUGAUGAAGAUGGGAAACAUGAUGAUGUCCAUCAAGAUCAAGAUAUAUGUUUGUUUUGUCUUUCCCCAAAAUUUUGGCCAUAUAUAUUGUACAGACAUGACAGUAGGGAUAGUGUUUUAGACUGAAAAAAAAAAUUGACAAAAUUUUUUUUUUGAUAAAGGGGGGAGGAAAUAUGUAAUGACACAAGAUGCGUAGAAGUUGAUGUGAAUCGGGUUUUUCCUAAGUAAUGUGACGAGUAAGAACAGAGUAGGAUAAUGAACAAAAAAGAAUAACGGACAAGACGCCUAAGAGGACGACGCUAGGCUAGCGACGACAGAGGACUGUGCCCUUUUUAUUGUUUAUUAAAUUGUUGAAGUUA